CCUACGGGAGGCAGCAGUGAGGAAUAUUGGUCAAUGGACGCAAGCCUGAACCAGCCAAGCCGCGUGAAGGAUGACGGCCCUAUGGUUUGUAAACUUCUUUUGUACGGGAGUAAUAUCAGAUACGUGUACCUGCUUGAAAGUACCUUACGAAUAAGGAUCGGCUAACUCCGUGCCAGCAGCCGCGGUAAUACGGAGGAUCCAAGCGUUAUCCGGAUUUCUUGGGUUUAAAGGGGGCGUAGGCGGGUUGAUAAGUUAGAUGUGAAAAUUAGGGGCUCAACUCCGGACGUGCAUUUGAUACUGGAAGACUUGAGAAUAGAUGCGGUAGGCGGAAUGUAUGGUGUAGCGGUGAAAUGCGUAGAGAUCAUGCAGAACACCGAUUGCGAAGGCAGCUUACCAAACGACAACUGACGUUGAGGCACGAAAGCGUGGGGAGCAAACAGGAUUAGAUACCCUGGUAGUC
rnacentral:rRNA from 1 species